GACCUAGUGGCGGAGUGGUUACGCGUCUUCUUUGCACGGAGGGUCACGUCGGUUCGAUUCCGACCUAGGUCU
rnacentral:tRNA from 1 species